UGAUAGUUUACUAUUUUGGUGGCGACCGGCGCACGGGUGAGUAACGCGUAUGCAACCUACCUUAUACAGGAGUAUAGCCCGAAGAAAUUCGGAUUAAUCCUCCAUAGUAUUUUCUAAUGGCAUCAUUUGGAAAAUUAAAGCUUCGGCGGUAUAAGAUGGGCAUGCGUCCUAUUAGCUAGAUGGUAAGGUAAUGGCUUACCAUGGCAACGAUAGGUAGGGGGCCUGAGAGGGUGAUCCCCCACACUGGUACUGAGACACGGACCAGACUCCUACGGGAGGCAGCAGUGAGGAAUAUUGGUCAAUGGGCGCAAGCCUGAACCAGCCAUGCCGCGUGCAGGAAGAAUGCCCUAUGGGUUGUAAACUGCUUUUAUUUAGGAAUAAACCCCUCUACGUGUAGAGGGCUGAAGGUACUAAACGAAUAAGCACCGGCUAACUCCGUGCCAGCAGCCGCGGUAAUACGGAGGGUGCAAGCGUUAUCCGGAAUCAUUGGGUUUAAAGGGUCCGCAGGCGGAUGUAUAAGUCAGUGGUGAAAUCCUGCAGCUUAACUGCA
rnacentral:rRNA from 1 species